rnacentral:rRNA from 1 species
AUUGAACGCUGGCGGCAGGCCUAACACAUGCAAGUCGAGCGGAGCGGCGGACGGGUGAGUAAUGCCUAGGAAUCUGCCUGGUAGUGGGGGAUAACGUCCGGAAACGGGCGCUAAUACCGCAUGCUAGCAGAUGAGCCUAGGUCGGAUUAGCUAGUAGGUGGGGUAAAGGCUCACCUAGGCGACGAGCCCUAGCUGGUCUGAGAGGAUGACCAGCCACACUGGAACUGAGACACGGUCCAGACUCCUACGGGAGGCAGCAGUGGGGAAUAUUGAACAAUGGGCGAAAGCCUGAUGCAGCCAUGCCGCGUGUAUGAAGAAGGCCUUCGGGUUGUAAAGUACUUUCAUCGGGGAGGCGGUACCCGAAGAAGAAGCACCGGCUAACUCCGUGCCAGCAGCCGCGGUAAUAC